UUGUGAUGCUGACAGAAGGCAGCUUGGAUAGAACACUUGUGAAAAAAUCUGUUUAUAUAUACGGUAUGUCUUCCCCACCAGACCCUCCACUCCUUUCAAGAAAGGACCUUGUUAUCUACACUGGACCCUCUGAGGACAUGCAAAAACACACCGCAACUGUUGGAUACAGAAUCAUUAUGAAAAUAAGAAAACACUAAGAAUUCUAAUCAGAAAACUGUAAACAGGGAAGUAACAAAGAUGAACUGAGGCAUUUUUGCUGAGUGGCAUUUUCUUACUGUAGGAAACCCAACGACAGUUUAGCCCUAUUCUAAUGGGAACUCAUGCAUUGUUAUUUAUUAAUCAGGUCUAUUCUGGUUCUGACACUCUCAACCAAGUUUGACAGCAGUUUUUCCCAUACCCUGGGAGCACUUGAGGCAUUUUCAAAAUAUAUGAGUGAUCCUUACUAUUUGGAUAUCUGAAAAGGCAGGAUUAUAGUCAACUAUAUAUGGACUGAGAAACUCCACAAUAAAAUGUUCAUCCCAGAGCCACAUUUUUAACCUCUCCUGCUCCCAAUUUUUCACCAAAAUUAUAUAACCAAUGUAAUAGGAAAAUUCCUAUAUCUCUGAGGGAAUUGCAAGUCCCAUGAAAAACAUGACAUUUUGAGUGAAUUCUACAGGAAAUAUGACAAGAAAAAAUCAGAGAAAUGUCAAAACCUAUCGUUCCUUAUUAGCAGAGAGGAACCCAACCAAACAAAAAAAUUGACUUUCCCACCAUUCACACUAAAAUCCCUUCAAUCAGAAGAUGAGAUGGGGAUGAGAGGGGAUGGAGCAAUAACUGUGAGAAGACCCCCCCAUCUUACCUGAGCCUUCAGAUGGAUGCAGGAAUUCGUAUAGAAGAGGAAGGGGUGCCCAUGAACUUCCCACAACUCACAAAGGUUUUAUGAUUAUGAAGCAUUGGCAGAAAUCUUGUCUUGAAAUUUUCAUUCAACAAUGUGGGUUAUACAAAUCAGAAAAACUUUGGGAAGAUGAAGAUAUGAAAUAUAAAAUAAAUUUUAGAAUUAUGCUAA